rnacentral:rRNA from 1 species
GAUGAACGCUGGCGGCGUGCCUAAUACAUGCAAGUCGAGCGAACAGACGAGGAGCUUGCUCCUCUGACGUUAGCGGCGGAUGGGUGAGUAACACGUGGAUAACCUACCUAUAAGACUGGGAUAACUUCGGGAAACCGGAGCUAAUACCGGAUAACAUGUUGAACCGCAUGGUUCACCAGUGAAAGACGGUUUUGCUGUCACUUAUAGAUGGAUCCGCGUCGCAUUAGCUAGUUGGUAAGGUAACGGCUUACCAAGGCAACGAUGCGUAGCCGACCUGAGAGGGUGAUCGGCCACACUGGAACUGAGACACGGUCCAGACUCCUACGGGAGGCAGCAGUAGGGAAUCUUCCGCAAUGGGCGAAAGCCUGACGGAGCAACGCCGCGUGAGUGAAGAAGGUCUUCGGAUCGUAAAACUCUGUUAUUAGGGAAGAACAAAUGUGUAAGUAACUAUGCACGUCUUGACGGUACCUAAUCAGAAAGCCACGGCUAACUACGUG